CUGCUCUAAAUGGGAGGUAUAUGUCUUCUAAAGCUAAAUACCGGCCAGAGACCGAUAGCGCACAAGUAGAGUGAUCGAAAGAUGAAAAGCACUUUGAAAAGAGAGUUAAAAAGUACGUGAAAUUGUUGAAAGGGAAGCGUUUAUGACCAGACUUGGGCUUGGUUAAUCAUCUGGGGUUCUCCCCAGUGCACUUUUCCAGUCCAGGCCAGCAUCAGUUUUCCCCGGGGGAUAAAGGCUUCGGGAAUGUGGCUCUCUUCGGGGAGUGUUAUAGCCCGUUGUGUAAUACCCUGGGGGGGACUGAGGUUCGCGCAUCUGCAAGGAUGCU
rnacentral:rRNA from 1 species